UGGAGGAGGAGUUUGAGGAGAGAAAGUGUGGUGAGAAAGCUAGAGAUAGCAGUUAUAGAUAACUACAAAACUAUAAAAAUGAUCAGAGAAAUGGGGCUGCAGCUUGAGACAGAUGUGUGUCAAGCACGUGUUUCUUGUCUGGACUAGGAAAUGUUAUCGCAUAUUCAUAUGCUGAUUGAAAUUCCUCUAGAGGAGAAAGAAUCUCUAUGACGAAUAGAGAGGGGAACUAUUGCAGAAGCAAAGUCCUUGAGAAGGCAGGAAGCCUAGAAUUCAGAUCCGAAGUAGAAGAAUUGGCCUUCAACAGGAAGAUGACCAUGGGCAUGGAUUGACAAACAUAGUAGAUGCUUGCAGCCACUCAAUGACAUCACAUAGCUGUCUGAGGCUCUAGAAGGUGCUCUGCUGCUAAAAGGAGCAUUAUAAAGAGUGUUUGAAUACCUCCAUGGGAACAGAAAAGCAAUGUGUGUGGAAGGAUAUUCAACAAUGUGUUGUUGGAAGACCAAGUGCAUUUUGCUGAAAACCUCCAUAACAAGAACAGAGACUUGGAAGAAGAGAUUCAAAGAGGAUAAAUAUAUAUUAAAUAGAUUCAACUGCUUAUUUGGGAAGAUCUUUACUAUACUAGAUACUGUUUUACUUUGUCUUAACAUAUGUAUUACACUGAUUCAACUUCUUAUCAUAAAUGGAAUAUGGUUGUUUUUUCUGUCAAUAAAUAGAUCCAUGCUUCAUAUUAAGGGAA